AGGAUCCCUUGAGCCCAGGAGUUCGAGACUAGCCUAGGCAACAUAGCAAGACUUUAUCUCUACAAAAAAAGUUAAAAAUUAUCCAGGUGGGCAUGGUGGUGUACCUGUAGUCCCAGCUACACAGGAGACUGAGGUGGGAGGAUCACCUGAGCCCAGGAGUUGGAGGCUGCAGUGAGCUAUGAUCUCGCAACUACACUCCAGGUAAGGCAACAAAGCGAGAUCCCAUUUCAAAAAAAAAAAAAAAGUAAAAUAUUAGCUAAAUUUAAAAUUGAAAACCUUUGCAGUUUCAACCUGUGUACAGCAAACAAACUAUGUUGGCAAGCGGGUAUUUGACACUGGGAUCCAAAGGAAAGAAAGAAUGCAUUGAAAAGAGUUUUGUGCCAGCAGAGCAUGACACACAUUUAAUUCUGACGUUGAUUAUUGUUAUUAGGAACUUUCUGCCCUGUUCAGAUGAGGCCAGCUGGAAAGUGAUGCAAAGCAGUCAUAAAGCGGAGUUUUAUCUGGUUUUAUCUCUGUUCUGAGCUGCAAGUGUGGUGCCCCCAUCUGCAGCAGAAUACCUACAGGGCCCCCAUAGCCCAGGUCCCUACCCACUCUGCAUCACUGAGGGCGAGACCCAGGAAUGUGUGAUUCCUUCAUGCACUUAAUUUUGCCCUAGUGAAAUCAUGUGCAAGAUCAAAAUGUGUAAAACUGAGACCCAAAUGGCAGGUGUUGAGCCAGAUUCCUUGCAGGCCUCGGCCACUCCCUGGAUUUAUAUGAGGUGCCACCCUGGAAGCUGCCUGCCCUGAGGGCAUUCACUCCAGCAACACAGAGGAGGGUUGCACUGUAGUUCUCACAGCCUGGGAAAUGCAGAUGCUGCACUCAGAUCUAGGGCCCCAGCCAGCCAGGGAGUAGCUGAGGCUGGGGAGACGCUGGCUCCUCAGGAAUCUGGCAUUCAGAGCUGUUGGACACUGCCAGGUCCUCAGUAGCAUAUAAUCCAGCAUCCUGAGCUGACGGUGAGGGGGCCUGGCCUGAGUCUCUCCAAUGCCUCUGACUGUGACCUUGGCUAACCUAGCUCCUUAAAUAGCAGUGUGGCUAUGGAGUCAGACAGGCCUGAGUUCUGAGCUGUGUGACCUUGGCAACUGCCACAACCUCACUGGGCCUUGUAAAAUGGGUUUGUGAGGCUACCUGCCUAGGAGAACUGUCAUGGGGAUUAAAUGAGAUGAUGCAUGUAAAGCACUGAGCACAGAAGCCCAGCACACGAUAAGAACUCAAAAAAGUGGAAGAUGCUAUUAUUAAUAAUAAUAUGUUUUGACUUAUCUAUGAAAUUGCAACAACAGCUCCUUCUUUACCUUCUUAAAAAGAGGUCUAUGGAUGAGCUCUGAAGUAGAGGCUUCUGUCCAUCCUGGGCCUAGUGUAUCCUCUGCCUGCUCAGGGUUCCUCUGGAUCUUUUAUGCUGGGCCUGUUUGGCAAGACACUGGGCAGGAAUUCACUCUUCAUGGCCAAACCCAGAAGCCGGGGCCUGAAUGCAUCCUUUCUCUCCUGUCCUGGGUCCAGCUAAGCCUGAGUUAUCUGAAUGAUCUGAAACCAACCAGCUUUUUCCCAAGCCCUGCAGUGUAAGGUCCCCAGGACAGACAAUGGGAGGGAAUUUAGAACUCACCUGCUCCAGGCUAAGACUCACAGGAAAAGCUGAGGGCAGACUAUGGCCCCUACCUUCAGAGUUGGAGGGUGGGAUGAGAGUCUUCUUGGCCCUUCACAGUGAUUCCAGAGGACACCCAGCUAGCCUGGAGCCCCAGCCACUUGAACCCCUAUGAUGGACAUAGGCGGAAGGAGCAGCUAGCCCACAACCCAGCUGCUUGGCAAAAACACGAAGGGCAUUUCCACUGCUUCCUCCCAGCUCCUGCAGCCUGCUAUCAGCACCACACCUGGUCAAGCCUGGGCGGCAGGGGAGAGGACAGCAGUGGCUCCAGCAUGUCCUUCCUUCACAUCCUGCUGACAGUUCAUUCAGGGGAUGCUCCUCUGAGCUGGCAAUCUCAGGACCAGGGAGGCAGCCUGAAAACCAGCCUGCUCUGGCCCAUAUCACUCCCGGAGAAUGUUACCAGUUAUUGAAAAUUUGUUUCUUGCAUUGGGAUAAAUCAAGGGCUACUGAAUGCCAACGCAGAGGCAGGGGUCAUGGGUAGGAGCUGCCUCCAGUGGGCCCUGAGACCUCUCUCCAC
rnacentral:lncRNA from 10 species